UACGUAGGAGGCAAGCGUUGUCCGGAAUCACUGGGCGUAAAGGGUCCGUAGGCGGUUUGUUAAGUCUCUUGUGAAAACUCAGGGCUCAACCCUGAGAGGUCGAUGGAUACUGGCAAACUCGAGACUGUAAGAGGCAAGCGGAAUUCCAGGUGUAGUGGUGAAAUGCGUAGAUAUCGGGAGGAACACCAGUGGCGAAAGCGGCUUGCUGGGCUAGUUCUGACGCUGAGGGACGAAAGCGUGAGUAGCAAACCGG
rnacentral:misc_RNA from 1 species